AGUGCCGCUGUUUAGACUAAUUACACCUUUUUUUUUUGUCUCGUCUUGUAUUGUUGUAUAAGUUCAGGACUGCUAAAAAGCGAAUGAAAAAUUAACAGCGAUCAUUUUUGUUCUCUCUAGUUUAGCCAUGCUGAUAACAUAGAUUUUGCUGGUUCUUUUGACUGUGGAAUUGUUGGUCACAGGCUUUGGCACCGACGAGGAAAUAAAACAGAUGUACCGCUUAUUUCUGGAAGAUGAAAAUCCUAUAGAUACAGCGGUAGAAGAAUGCGAGGUAACUUACGAAAAAGUCGGAUGCUUUUCUGACAAACUAAAUAACGGAGCGCUUCCAGAUUUCAUCCUCGGUGAUCGAGACAAACUAAAAUGGCAACCUGAGGAAUGGAAGAAAUUUUUAAAGAGGCGGAAGCGGAGGUGGAUUACGUGAAGCAUAAAGAAGGAUUAAUCCACUUUUGCCUUAGACGGCAGCUUCAGUUCAAAUGAAUCUCAAAUAAAAUGCAAA